rnacentral:rRNA from 1 species
GGACCCGCACAAGCAGUGGAGCAUGUGGUUUAAUUCGACGCAACGCGAAGAACCUUACCAGCGUUUGACAUGGGAAGUGCCGGUUACAGAAUGGUAACCUUCAGUUCGGCUGGCUUCCGCACAGGUGCUGCAUGGCUGUCGUCAGCUCGUGUCGUGAGAUGUUGGGUUAAGUCCCGCAACGAGCGCAACCCUUAUCGUUAGUUACUAACAGUUCGGCUGAGGACUCUAGCGAAACUGCCGGUGAUAAGCCGGAGGAAGGUGGGGAUGACGUCAAGUCCUCAUGGCCCUUACACGCUGGGCUACACACGUGCUACAAUGGCAUAUACAGAGGGCAGCAAGACCGCGAGGUGGAGCGAAUCCCAGAAAGUAUGUCGUAGUCCGGAUUGGAGUCUGCAACUCGACUCCAUGAAGUCGGAAUC